CCACCGUUUAUCCACUCUCAACACAGAACGCGUCCCGUGGUACGUGCCUAAGUCAAGCCAGGAGUGCAGAGAAUGGAAGAGCUGUGAGCCUUGAGCCAACCCCCCUCAGUAGGAACUGGAAAAGAAGGUCAAGGUUAAGGAGCCAAGAAAACUGAACUUGUGGAGAAACCAUGUACACAGUGUGAACUGGCAGAGCAGCAGUUUGUAAGGACUUGGGCCUUGCCAAACUCCAAAUCCAGGCUACAGUGGCCUGCUCCCUCCUCACAGAGAUGCCUGAGGAUCACUUAUACUUAGUCUGGGUCUCCCUAUGCAGUUCUGAGGCUUGGAGCUUGCUACAUACAUCCAGCUGGCUUCAGACUAAAAGAGGUCCCCCUGCCUCUGCCAUGCAAGUGCUGACAUCACAUGAGUGCACCACUACACCAACUGAAGACAGGUCUCUUUUGUCUCGGAGUUUGAAGGGUACAUUCCGUGGUGGCAGGGAAGCUGUGGUGGCAGGUGGCUCUGUGGUAACAGGAGCACAUGCCACUUGCUCACACCUCUCAAAGAAGCAAAAGUGAGGAGCUGGUACUCAACUGUCUCUCUCCCUUCCUCCUUUUCAUUCCUUCUAGGACCGCAGCCCACGGGAGAAGCCAACCAUGGGUUGGAAAGAAGAGCCAGUCUUACCAUUAAUUACUGUACAUGUGUAGCUUUUUGUUAUUGAUUUAAAUCUUAUUGCAAACUUAACAUCUAUUAAAUUUUUAUUAAUUAUUAUUAUACAAGGAAUUAUUAUUAUUAUUAUUAUACAUGCCAUGGCAUGAAGUAAGUCAAAAGGCAACUUUGUGAAGUUGAUGGUCAC